rnacentral:rRNA from 1 species
GACGAACGCUGGCGGCGUGCCUAAUACAUGCAAGUAGAACGCUGAAGAGAGGAGCCUGCUCUUCUUGGAUGAGUUGCGAACGGGUGAGUAACGCGUAGGUAACCUGCCUGGUAGCGGGGGAUAACUAUUGGAAACGAUAGCUAAUACCGCAUAAAAUUGAUUAUCGCAUGAUAAUCAAUUGAAAGGUGCAAAUGCAUCACUACCAGAUGGACCUGCGUUGUAUUAGCUAGUUGGUGGGGUAACGGCUCACCAAGGCGACGAUACAUAGCCGACCUGAGAGGGUGAUCGGCCACACUGGGACUGAGACACGGCCCAGACUCCUACGGGAGGCAGCAGUAGGGAAUCUUCGGCAAUGGACGGAAGUCUGACCGAGCAACGCCGCGUGAGUGAAGAAGGUUUUCGGAUCGUAAAGCUCUGUUGUAAGAGAAGAACGAGUGUGAGAGUGGAAAGUUCACACUGUGACGGUAUCUUACCAGAAAGGGACGGCUAACUACGUGCCAGCAGCCGCGGUAAUACGUAGGUCCCGAGCGUUGUCCGGAUUUAUUGGGCGUAAAGCGAGCGCAGGCGGUUAGAUAAGUCUGAAGUUAAAGGCUGUGGCUUAACCAUAGUACGCUUUGGAAACUGUUUAACUUGAGUGCAAGAGGGGAGAGUGGAAUUCCAUGUGUAGCGGUGAAAUGCGUAGAUAUAUGGAGGAACACCAGUGGCGAAAGCGGCUCUCUGGCUUGUAACUGACGCUGAGGCUCGAAAGCGUGGGGAGCAAANNNG